GGGCGAGUGGCGAAACUGGCAGACGCGCACGCUUCAGGAGCGUGUGGGGCAACCCAUGGAGGUUCAAAUCCUCUCUCGCCCA
rnacentral:tRNA from 1 species